rnacentral:rRNA from 1 species
UGCAAGUCGAGCGGUAAGGCCUUUCGGGGUACACGAGCGGCGAACGGGUGAGUAACACGUGGGUGAUCUGCCCUGCACUCUGGGAUAAGCUUGGGAAACUGGGUCUAAUACCGGAUAUGACUGCAUGCCGCAUGGUGUGUGGUGGAAAGAUUUAUCGGUGCAGGAUGGGCCCGCGGCCUAUCAGCUUGUUGGUGGGGUAAUGGCCUACCAAGGCGACGACGGGUAGCCGACCUGAGAGGGUGACCGGCCACACUGGGACUGAGACACGGCCCAGACUCCUACGGGAGGCAGCAGUGGGGAAUAUUGCACAAUGGGCGGAAGCCUGAUGCAGCGACGCCGCGUGAGGGAUGAAGGCCUUCGGGUUGUAAACCUCUUUCAGCAGGGACGAAGCGUGAGUGACGGUACCUGCAGAAGAAGCACCGGCUAACUACGUGCCAGCAGCCGCGGUAAUACGUAGGGUGCGAGCGUUGUCCGGAAUUACUGGGCGUAAAGAGUUCGUAGGCGGUUUGUCGCGUCGUUUGUGAAAACCCGGGGCUCAACUUCGGGCUUGCAGGCGAUACGGGCAGACUUGAGUGUUUCAGGGGAGACUGGAAUUCCUGGUGUAGCGGUGAAAUGCGCAGAUAUCAGGAGGAACACCGGUGGCGAAGGCGGGUCUCUGGGAAACAACUGACGCUGAGGAACGAAAGCGU